rnacentral:rRNA from 1 species
CAGUCGCCGCGGGAAAACGUAGGUGGCAAGCGUUGUCCGGAAUUAUAGGGCGUAAAGGGCUCGCAGGCGGUUUCUUAAGUCUGAUGUGAAAGCCCCCGGCUCAACCGGGGAGGGUCAUUGGAAACUGGGAAACUUGAGUGCAGAAGAGGAGAGUGGAAUUCCACGUGUAGCGGUGAAAUGCGUAGAGAUGUGGAGGAACACCAGUGGCGAAGGCGACUCUCUGGUCUGUAACUGACGCUGAGGAGCGAAAGCGUGGGGAGCGAACAGGAUUAGAUACCCCUGUAGUCCCUGUCUCUUAUAC